rnacentral:rRNA from 1 species
AUACGGAGGGUGCAAGCGUUAUUCGGAAUCACUGGGCGUAAAGGACGCGUAGGCGGGUUGGUAAGUCAGAUGUGAAAUCCUACAGCUUAACUGUAGAACUGCAUUUGAAACUGCUAACCUAGAGUAUGGGAGGGGGAGAUGGAAUUAGUGGUGUAGGGGUAAAAUCCGUAGAUAUCACUAGGAAUACCGAAAGCGAAGGCGAUCUCCUGGAACAUAACUGACGCUAAGGCGUGAAAGCGUGGGGAGCAAACAGGAUUAGAUACCCUAGUAGUCC